rnacentral:miRNA from 1 species
AACCCUCUUGCCCUCUCCUAG